rnacentral:rRNA from 1 species
CUACGGGGCGCUGCAGUGGGGAAUAUUGCACAAUGGGCGCAAGCCCGAUGCAGCCAUGCCGCGUGUAUGAAGAAGGCCUUCGGGUUGUAAAGUACUUUCAGCGGGGAGGAAGGGAGUAAAGUUAAUACCUUUGCUCAUUGACGUUACCCGCAGAAGAAGCACCGGCUAACUCCGUGCCAGCAGCCGCGGUAAUACGGGAGGGUGCAAGCGUUAAUCGGAAUUACUGGGCGUAAAGCGCACGCAGGCGGUUUGUUAAGUCAGAUGUGAAAUCCCCGGGCUCAACCUGGGAACUGCAUCUGAUACUGGCAAGCUUGAGUCUCGUAGAGGGGGGUAGAAUUCCAGGUGUAGCGGUGAAAUGCGUAGAGAUCUGGAGGAAUACCGGUGGCGAAGGCGGCCCCCUGGACGAAGACUGACGCUCAGGUGCGAAAGCGUGGGGAGCAAACAGGAUUAGAUACCCCUGUAGUC